UGGCAUGUAGCUCAGUGUUUGAGGCACCUGCUUUUUAUGCAGAAGGUCCCAUGUUCAGUUCCUGGCAUUUCUA